rnacentral:lncRNA from 1 species
GAAAGAUAUUCAUUUCCGAAUCCUCAGAAUCUGUGGACAUGUUACCUUACAUGGUAAAAGGGACUUUGCAGAUGUGGUUAUGCCUUGAGUUGGGGAGAUUAUGUUGGGUCAUUUGAGUAAACCCAAUCUUAUACCAUGAGUCCUUAAAAACAGAGAAAACUUUUCUUUGUGUAGUGAGAAGGAUAUAUGGCUACAGAAAGAUGAUCAGAGGGGUUCAGGGGUGCAACAUUGUUGUCUUUGAAGAUGGAGGAAAGGGGCCAUAUGAGAAGUUUCUACAAGCAGAAAAAGAAACUCAAUUAUACAGCCAAGAGGAUGUUUAUGCUCCAAUGAAUUGAAAGUCAAGAAGAAAAAUGCCACAGUAUUAAUGCAAGCUUUUUAUUUAAGCACUGAUGUUUUUUUA